rnacentral:rRNA from 1 species
GAUGAACGCUGGCGGCGUGCCUAAUACAUGCAAGUCGAGCGAACAGACGAGGAGCUUGCUCCUCUGACGUUAGCGGCGGACGGGUGAGUAACACGUUGAUAACCUACCUAUAAGACUGGGAUAACUUCGGUAAACCGGAGCUAAUACCGGAUAAUAUAUUGAACCUCAUGGUUCAAUAGUGAAAGACGGUUUUGCUGUCACUUAUAGAUGGAUCCGCGCCGCAUUAGCUAGUUGGUAAGGUAACGGCUUACCAAGGCAACGAUGCGUAGCCGACCUGAGAGGGUGAUCGGCCACACUGGAACUGAGACACGGUCCAGACUCCUACGGGAGGCAGCAGUAGGGAAUCUUCCGCAAUGGGCGAAAGCUUGACGGAGCAACGCCGCGUGAGUGAUGAAGGUCUUCGGAUCGUAAAACUCUGUUAUUAGGGAAGAACAAAUGUGUAAGUAACUAUGCACGUCUUGACGGUACCUAAUCAGAAAGCCACGGCUAACUACGUG